rnacentral:rRNA from 1 species
UUGGAGGGGCCAGUCUGGUGCCAGCAGCCGCGGUAAUUCCAGCUCCAAUAGCGUAUAUUAAAGUUGUUGCAGUUAAAAAGCUCGUAGUUGAAUUUCGGGAUUGACGUGAUGGUCGUGCCUUACGGGGUAUGAACUGUUGCUGUUGAUUUCUCACCUUCUGGAGAAUCUUGAUGUCCUUAAUUGGGUGUCUUGCGGAUCCAGGACCUUUACCUUGAAAAAAUUAGAGUGUUUAAAGCAGGCAUUUUUGCUCGAAUACAUUAGCAUGGAAUAAUAGAAUAGGACGGCAUGGUUCUAUUUUGUUGGUUUCUAGGAUCACCGUAAUGAUUAAUAGGGAUAGUUGGGGGCAUUAGUAUUCAAUUGUCAGAGGUGAAAUUCUUGGAUUUAUUGAAGACUAACUACUGCGAAAGCAUUUGCCAAGGAUGUUUUCAUUAAUCAAGAACGAAAGUUAGGGGAUCGAAGACGAUCAGAUACCGUCGUAGUCUUAACCAUAAACUAUGCCGACUAGGGAUCGGAUGAUGUUAAUUUUAUUAAUGACUCAUUCGGCGCCUACNGGGGAAAAC